GUUUUUUCUCUCUCUCUGUGUGUGUGUGUGUGUGUGUGUGUGUGUCUGUGUGUGUGUGUUAAGGCUGUCUGAGCGUAGCGCAUUAAGUGUGUAAAGGCAGAUUCUGUGGAGGCUCUGCAGGCAGA